GAUGAACGCUGGCGGCGUGCCUAAUACAUGCAAGUCGAACGAAGAACAAGAAGCUUGCUUCUUGUUACUGAGUGGCGAACGGGUGAGUAAUACAUAAGCAACCUGCCUUAAUGACUGGGAUAACAGUUGGAAACGAUUGCUAAUACCGGAUAAUUUUACUGGAGACAUCUUCAGUAAAUAAAAGUUGGGAUACAACACAUUGAGAUGGGCUUAUGGCGCAUUAGUUAGUUGGUGAGGUAACGGCUCACCAAGACGAUGAUGCGUAGCCGACCUGAGAGGGUGACCGGCCACACUGGGACUGAGACACGGCCCAGACUCCUACGGGAGGCAGCAGUAGGGAAUUUUCGGCAAUGGGGGAAACCCUGACCGAGCAACGCCGCGUGAGUGAAGAAGGCCCUCGGGUUGUAAAGCUCUGUUGUAAGGGAAGAACAGUUAGGAGAGGGAAUGCUCUUGACCUGACGGUACCUUACCAGAAAGCCACGGCUAACUAC
rnacentral:rRNA from 1 species